CCCCAGCGCCACAAGUGGCAGCCACAUUUAUUGGGCCUAAAGCGUCCGUAGCCGGCUAGAUAAAUCUCCUGUGAAAUCGUUGCGCUUAACGUAACGGCGUGCAGGAGAGACUGUUUAGCUAGGGACCGGUAAGAGUUAGGAGUAUUUCCGGGGGAGCGGUUAAAUGUUAUAAUCCCGGAAGGACUACCUGUGGCGAAGGCGCCUAACUGGAACGGAUCCGACGGUGAGGGACGAAAGCCAGGGGAGCAAACCGG
rnacentral:rRNA from 1 species